UUGGUUAAGCUAUAAAGAGCGCAGGGUGGAUGCCUUGGCACUAAGAGCCGAUGAAAGACGUGAUAAGCUGCGNNNNNNNNNNUCAAGACAUCCGAGGUGUUACAUCGAAAGAUGUAACCAAACAAUAACUCGUUUUAAAUAACGAACCUAAGACCAGCGAUACAACGCUAUGUAUCGUAGAUGAGUAGCCAGCACCCGCAGGCGAAAAUCAAUUGGUUAAGCUAUAAAGAGCGCAGGGUGGAUGCCUUGGCACUAAGAGCCGAUGAAAGACGUGAUAAGCUGCGAAAAGCUUCGGGGAGGAGCAAAUAUCCAUUGAUCCGGAGAUAUCUGAAUGGGGAAACCUGGCUGAGAAGACCUCAGUCGUCGUAUGGUGAAUCCAUAGCCAUACGUCGGGAACCGCCUGAACUGAAACAUCUAAGUAGGGCGAGGAAAAGAAAGAAAACUCGAUUUCCAAAGUAGCGGCGAGCGAAAUGGAAAGAGCCUAAACCGGAGCGCGUGCGUUCCGGGGUUANNNNNNNNNNCGAGGAAAAGAAAGAAAACUCGAUUUCCAAAGUAGCGGCGAGCGAAAUGGAAAGAGCCUAAACCGGAGCGCGUGCGUUCCGGGGUUAUGGACCGCAACAAGUGAGUCGAUUUGUUAGUGGAACGGUCUGGGAAGUCCGGCCACAGAGGGUGAAAGCCCCGUACACGAAAACAAUAGACAGCGAGCGGGAUCCAAAGUACCACGAGACACGAGAAACCUUGUGGGAAGUCGGGGGGACCACCCCCCAAGGCUAAAUACUCCUUAGUGACCGAUAGCGCAUAGUACUGUGAAGGAAAGGUGAAAAGGACCCCGGGAGGGGAGUGAAAGAGAACCUGAAACCCUGUGUUUACAAGCUGUGGAAGCACUUUAUAUGUGCAACCGCGUACUUUUUGUAGAACGGUCCGGCGAGUUACCUGUACUGGCAAGGUUAAGCACUCAAGGUGCGGAGCCGAAGGGAAACCAAGUCUUAAUAGGGCCACAGUCAGUAUGGGUAGACCCGAAACCGGGUGAUCUAUCCAUGUCCAGGUUGAAGCUGCCGUAAAAGGCGGUGGAGGACCGAACACACAUCCGUUGAAAAGGGUGGUGAUGAGGUGUGGAUAGGGGAGAAAUUCCAAUCGAACCCGGAGAUAGCUGGUUCUCCUCGAAAUAGCUUUAGGGCUAGCCUCGUGUUAGUCUCCUGGAGGUAGAGCACUGAAUUCUUAAGGGGGCGUCAAAGCUUACCAAGAGAUAUCAAACUCCGAAUGCCAGAGAGAUGAUGCACGGGAGUCAGACGGCACGAGAUAAGUUGGGUCGUCAAAAGGGAAAGAGCCCAGACCACCAGCUAAGGUCCCAAAGUGCGUGUUAAGUGGAAAAGGAUGUGGGAUUUCGAAGACAACUAGGAUGUUGGCUCAGAAGCAGCCACACAUUCAAAGAGUGCGUAAUAGCUCACUAGUCGAGAGGUCCUGCGCCGAAAAUGUCCGGGGCUGAAACACGACACCGAAGCUGUGGACUUGCCUAUGGCAAGUGGUAGAGGAGCAUUCUUAACUGCGGCGAAGCAGUACCGAUAAGGAGCUGUGGAGUGUUAAGAAGAGAGAAUGCCGGAAUGAGUAGCGAGAUGGAGGUGGGAAUCCUCCAGGCCGAAUAUCUAAGGUUUCCAGAGUAAAGCUGAUCUGCUCUGGGUAAGUCGGGACCUAAGGCAAGGUCGAAAGACGUAGUCGAUGGACAACAGGUUGAAAUUCCUGUACCACAUAUCAUCAGAACUGUGGGGACACAGGGCGAUAACCAGACCCGGGAAUGAAAAGACCGGGGCAAGCGAGGUAGGAGUUAAGCCGGCAAAUCCGCUUAACAAUCCGAAGACGUGAUGCGGACCGAACAAAAGUAGGGAAGCUGGAGAUUCGAACUGUCAAGAAAAGCCGCUAUUGUGUGAUAUGUGCCCGUACCGUAAACCGACACAGGUGGAUGAGGAGAGAAUCCUAAGGCCGGCGGGAGAAGCAUUGUUAAGGAACUCGGCAAAAUGACCCUGUAACUUCGGGAUAAAGGGUGCCUGCGCAAGCAGGCCGCAGAGAAUAGGCUCAAGCAACUGUUUAGCAAAAACACAGGUCUAUGCAAAACCGAAAGGUGAGGUAUAUGGGCUGACGCCUGCCCGGUGCUGGAAGGUUAAGAGGAGAGGUUAGAGCAAUCGAAGCUUUGAAUUUAAGCCCCAGUAAACGGCGGCCGUAACUAUAACGGUCCUAAGGUAGCGAAAUUCCUUGUCGGGUAAGUUCCGACCCGCACGAAAGGCGUAAUGAUUUGAGCGCUGUCUCGACAAUGCACCCGGUGAAAUUGAAAUACCAGUGAAGAUGCUGGUUACCUGCGCCAGGACGGAAAGACCCCAUGGAGCUUUACUCCAGCUUGAUACUGGGAUUCGGUUAUACAUGUACAGGAUAGGUGGGAGGCUAAGAAGUGAGGACGCCAGUCUUCACGGAGCCGCUGUUGGGAUACCACCCUUGUGUGACUGGGUUUCUAACCUGCAGCCGUGACCCGGCUGGGGGACAAUGUCAGGUGGGGAGUUUGACUGGGGCGGUCGCCUCCGAAAGGGUAUCGGAGGCGCUCAAAGGUUCCCUCAGAAUGGUUGGAAACCAUUUGCAGAGUGCAAAGGCAUAAGGGAGCUUGACUGCGAGACCGACGGGUCGAGCAGGUAGGAAACUAGGACUUAGUGAUCCGGUGGUAUAAAGUGGGAUUGCCAUCGCUCAACGGAUAAAAGCUACCCUGGGGAUAACAGGCUUAUCACUCCCAAGAGUUCACAUCGACGGAGUGGUUUGGCACCUCGAUGUCGGCUCAUCGCAUCCUGGGGCUGAAGUAGGUCCCAAGGGUUGGGCUGUUCGCCCAUUAAAGCGGUACGCGAGCUGGGUUCAGAACGUCGUGAGACAGUUCGGUCCCUAUCCGGCGUGGGCGUAGGAUAUUUGAGAGGAGCUGUCCUUAGUACGAGAGGACCGGGAUGGACUGACCUCUGGUGCAUCGGUUGGGUAUCAAACCCAUGGCCGAGUAGCCAAGUCGGGACGGGAUAAACGCUGAAGGCAUCUAAGCGUGAAGCCCCCCUCAAGAUGAGAUAUCCCAUACGCAAGUAGUAAGACCCCUUGAAGACGACGAGGUAGAUAGGGCAGAGGUGGAAGCAUGGUAACAUGUGCAGCUGACUGUCACUAAUAGGUCGAGGGCUUAACCAAG
rnacentral:rRNA from 1 species